rnacentral:rRNA from 2 species
UGGGGAAUUUUGGACAAUGGACGCAAGUCUGAUCCAGCCAUUCCGCGUGCAGGAUGAAGGCCCUCGGGUUGUAAACUGCUUUUGUACGGAACGAAAAGGUUUCUAUUAAUACUAGGAGCUCAUGACGGUACCGUAAGAAUAAGCACCGGCUAACUACGUGCCAGCAGCCGCGGUAAUACGUAGGGUGCAAGCGUUAAUCGGAAUUACUGGGCGUAAAGCGUGCGCAGGCGGUUAUGUAAGACAGAGGUGAAAUCCCCGGGCUCAACCUGGGAACUGCCUUUGUGACUGCAUAGCUAGAGUACGGUAGAGGGGGAUGGAAUUCCGCGUGUAGCAGUGAAAUGCGUAGAUAUGCGGAGGAACACCGAUGGCGAAGGCAAUCCCCUGGACCUGUACUGACGCUCAUGCACGAAAGCGUGGGGAGCAAACAGGAUUAGAUACCCUGGUAGUCCACGCCCUAAACGAUGUCAACUGGUUGUUGGGUCUUCACUGACUCAGUAACGAAGCUAACGCGUGAAGUUGACCGCCUGGGGAGUACGGCCGCAAGGUUG